rnacentral:rRNA from 1 species
GUGAGGAAUUUUCCGCAAUGGGCGAAAGCCUGACGGAGCAAUGCCGCGUGAAGGAUGAAGGCCUAUGGGUUGUAAACUUCUUUUCUCAGAAAAGAAUUAUGACGGUAUCUGAGGAAUAAGCAUCGGCUAACUCUGUGCCAGCAGCCGCGGUAAGACAGAGGAUACAAGCGUUAUCCGGAAUGAUUGGGCGUAAAGCGUCUGUAGGUUGUUUAAAAAGUAUUCUGUCAAAGAUUAGGGCUUAACCCUAGAUAGGCAGAAUAAACUUUUAAGCUAGAGUUUGGUAGAGGCAGAGGGAAUUCCCGGUGGAGCGGUGAAAUGCGUAGAUAUCGGGAGGAACACCAAAGGCGAAGGCACUCUGCUGGGCCAAUACUAACACUGAGAGACGAAAGCGAGGGGAGCAAAUGGGAUUAGAUACCCCAGUAGUCC